rnacentral:rRNA from 1 species
GUGGAUUAGUGGCGAACGGGUGAGUAACACGUGAGUAACCUGCCCUUGACUCUGGGAUAAGCCUGGGAAACUGGGUCUAAUACCGGAUAGGAACGUCCACCGCAUGGUGGUUGUUGGAAAGAUUUAUCGGUCAUGGAUGGACUCGCGGCCUAUCAGCUUGUUGGUGAGGUAAUGGCUCACCAAGGCGACGACGGGUAGCCGGCCUGAGAGGGUGACCGGCCACACUGGGACUGAGACACGGCCCAGACUCC